GCCAGUGUGGCUCAGUGGUUGAGCAUCCACCCAGGAACCAACAGAUCCCGGGUUCGAAUCCCGGUCAAGGGCA
rnacentral:tRNA from 1 species